rnacentral:rRNA from 1 species
GGUUUAAUUCGAUGAUACGCGAGGAACCUUACCCGGGCUUGAAUUGCAGAGGAAGGAUUUGGAGACAAUGAACGCCCUUCGGGGUCUCUGUGAAGGUGCUGCAUGGUUGUCGUCAGCUCGUGCCGUGAGGUGUCGGCUUAAGUGCCAUAACGAGCGCAACCCCUCUCCUUAGUUGCCAUCAGGUGAAGCUGGGCACUCUGGGGACACUGCCACCGUAAGGUGUGA